AUUGCCAUUGCUAUCUUCGUCUCUUCCUAAUAUCUACACCCAAAGAGAAGAAACAAAAACAAAACCCUAGCACUGAUUACGCUAAUAGGAAAAAAAAAAAUAAAAACCAUCCGAGUCUUUCUCUUUUUGGAUGAUAAAACCCGCUAUUCUAUUCACGGUUCUCUAUUUGCACAAUGGGAGCAAGCCGCAAGCUUCAAGGCGAGAUUGAUCGCGUUCUGAAGAAGGUCCAAGAAGGCGUCGAUGUCUUUGACAGCAUCUGGAACAAGGUUUAUGAUACAGACAACGCAAAUCAGAAAGAGAAAUUUGAGGCGGACUUAAAGAAGGAGAUAAAAAAGCUGCAGAGGUACAGGGAUCAAAUCAAAACAUGGAUUCAAUCUAGUGAGAUCAAGGAUAAGAAGGUUAGUGCCUCUUACGAGCAGGCUUUAGUGGAUGCUCGUAAGCAAAUUGAGCGUGAAAUGGAGAGAUUUAAGAUCUGCGAGAAGGAAACAAAAACAAAGGCAUUUUCUAAAGAAGGGCUGGGCCAACAACCGAAAACUGAUCCAAAGGAGAAGGCUAAAUCAGAAACAAGGGAUUGGUUAAACAAUGUGGUUGGAGAGUUGGAAUCACAGAUUGAUAGCUUUGAAUCUGAAAUUGAGGGGCUAUCUGUUAAGAAAGGGAAGACAAGACCACCUAGAUUGACGCAUUUAGAGACAUCUAUCGUGCGGCACAAGGCUCAUAUUAUGAAGUUAGAAUGGAUCUUGAGGCUACUGGAUAACGAUGAAUUGAGUCCUGAGCAGGUCAAUGAUGUUAAAGACUUCCUGGACGACUAUGUGGAACGUAAUCAGGAGGACUUUGAUGAAUUUAGUGAUGUUGAUGAGCUUUACAGCUCAUUGCCAUUGGACAAGGUGGAGUCUCUUGAAGAUCUUGUUACAAUUGGUACUCCUGGUCUUGUCAAGGUUGCACCAGUUCACAGCUUGAAGACAUCUUUAGCAGCUUCAGCAUCUCAAAUGCCUGCAACUGCCACGUCUACUCAUCAGCAGGCUACUUUGGUUCAGGAGCAAGCUGAUGAUACAGCUUC
rnacentral:misc_RNA from 1 species